GACGAACGCUGGCGGCGUGCUUAACACAUGCAAGUCGAACGGAAAGUCCCUGCUUUUGUGGGGUGCUCGAGUGGCGAACGGGUGAGUAACACGUGGGUAACCUGCCCUUGACUUUAGGAUAACUUCAGGAAACUGGGGCUAAUACCGGAUAGGAGCUCCUGCUGCAGGGUGGGGGUUGGAAAGUUUCGGCGUUUGGGGAUGGACGCGCGGCUUAUAAGCUGGUUGGUGGGGUAGUGGCUUACCAAGGCUGUGACGGGUAGCCGGCCUGAGAGGGUGACCGGCGACACUGGGACUCAGAUACGGGCCCGAGUCCCCUGGGAGGCAGAAGUGGGGAAUAUUGCACGAUGGGCGGAAGCGUGAUGCAGAGAAGCAGCGUGCGGGAGAAGGGGGUUCGGGUUGUAAACCCCUUUUGCCUGAGGCGAAGAGAGAGUGACGGUAAUGGGUAAAGCAGCACCGGCUAACUACGUG
rnacentral:rRNA from 1 species